UUUCCGUAGGUGAACCUGCGGAAGGAUCAUUAAUGAAAUACAAAAUUAGAGUUCCGUGCUACUUCUAUAUUUUUUUUAUCCUGUUAUGUUCACUGGAUGAGAUUACAUACCUUAUGUACGAGAUGAUUUGGCUUGCGCAAGAUUCUUGCUCGCCCAGGCAGCGAGACGAUGAAUUACACAACCCUGCUAAGAACCCAUUUCUUAAAUAUUUUCAUGCAAUGCAAUAACACUUUCAAUAAUGGUCCUCUAGGCACCUGCAACGAUGAAGAACGCAGCAGA
rnacentral:misc_RNA from 1 species